CAGGUUGACUCUGGAGGGCGGUCUUAGGGCCCACCGACGGGGCAGAGCCUGCACAGAGUGCGGCUUUAAACUCUCAGGUUUUGGACAGAGGGGCGGCG
rnacentral:ncRNA from 2 species